rnacentral:rRNA from 1 species
AAAACAGGAAUUAUGAUAACCCCUGGUAGUCCCACGCCCUUUAACCGAUGGGGUGGCUUAAGUGUUUAGAGGGGUUUCCCGCCCCUUUAAGUGCUUGCAGCUGACCGCAUUUUAAGCACUCCGCCUGGGGGAGUACGGUUCGCCAGACCUGAAACUCAAAGGGAUUGACUGGGGCCCGCACCAGCGGUGAGCAUGUGGUUUUAUUCGAAGCCACGCGAAGAACCUUACCAGGUCUUGACAUCCUCUGACAACUCUAGAGAUAGAGCGUUUCCCUUCGGGGGACAGAGUGACAGGUGGUGCAUGGUUGUCGUCAGCUCGUGUCGUGAGAUGUUGGGUUAAGUCCCGCAACGAGCGCAACCCUUGAUCUUAGUUGCCAGCAUUUAGUUGGGCACUCUAAGGUGACUGCCGGUGACAAACCGGAGGAAGGUGGGGAUGACGUCAAAUCAUCAUGCCCCUUAUGACCUGGGCUACACACGUGCUACAAUGGAUGGUACAAAGGGCUGCAAGACCGCGAGGUCAAGCCAAUCCCAUAAAACCAUUCUCAGUUCGGAUUGUAGGCUGCAACUCGCCUACAUGAAGCUGGAAUCGCUAGUAAUCGCGGAUCAGCAUGCCGCGGUGAAUACGUUCCCGGGCCUUGUACACACCGCCCGUCACACCACGAGAGUUUGUAACACCCGAAGUCGGUGGAGUAAACCGUAAGGAG